CCUGGUUAUCCAAAACAUUUCCUUUUUUUUUAAAAGGUAAGCUCUGCGCAAUGAUUUAAAUAGCCGCAGUAUCUUGACUGUGCUAAGGUAGCAUAAUAAUUUGCCUUAUAAUUGAUGGCUAGUAUGAAAGAGUUAAUAAUUUUUAACUUUUAUCUUCUUCUUGGAAAUUGAUAUCUAAGUAAAAAAGCUUAGCUAGAUUGGGGGGACGAUAAGACCCUAUAAAACUUUAUUAAUAAAUAAAUAUACUAGAAUAAAGACUAAUAAUUAAUUAAGCUGGGGCGGCUACUGAAAAACAUCUGUAAAUUAAACUUUUCGCAGAAAUCAAAGAUCUUUCUAAGAUAUAGAACAAGUUACUUUAGGGAUAACAGCGUAAUCUUUUUAAAUAGAUCUUAUAGACAAAAAGGAAUUACGACCUCGAUGUUGAAUUGGGGGACCCUGGGGGGGUAAAAGAUCCUAUAAAGGGAGGUCCUGUUCGACCUUUAAAUCCCCACGUGAUCUGAGUCAGACCG
rnacentral:rRNA from 1 species